rnacentral:ncRNA from 2 species
UUAGCAGCAGGAAAUGGUGUCUUCCUUUUAAAAACCGCGAUUGCUGAUGGCGCCUGCAAAUUC